GAUGAACGCUGGCGGCGUGCCUAAUACAUGCAAGUCGAGCGAAUGGAUUAAGAGCUUGCUCUUAUGAAGUUAGCGGCGGACGGGUGAGUAACACGUGGGUAACCUGCCCAUAAGACUGGGAUAACUCCGGGAAACCGGGGCUAAUACCGGAUAACAUUUUGAACCGCAUGGUUCGAAAUUGAAAGGCGGCUUCGCUGUCACUUAUGGAUGGACCCGGGUCGCAUUAGCUAGUUGGUGAGGUAACGGCUCACCAAGGCAACGAUGCGUAGCCGACCUGAGAGGGUGAUCGGCCACACUGGGACUGAGACACGGCCCAGACUCCUACGGGAGGCAGCAGUAGGGAAUCUUCCGCAAUGGACGAAAGUCUGACGGAGCAACGCCGCGUGAGUGAUGAAGGCUUUCGGGUCGCAAAACUCUGUUGUUAGGGAAGAACAAGUGCUAGUUGAAUAAGCUGGCACCUUGACGGUACCUAACCAGAAAGCACCGGCUAACUACGUGCCAGCCGCCGCAGUAA
rnacentral:rRNA from 1 species